ensembl:snoRNA
UUGCCAUAUUUUUUCACAGUGCUAUACAGUGCUGCAUUUAAAUCUUGCACAUUUGUCUUACAUCAUGAAACUGUUCUCGAUACAAAACAUCAAACCAGAAACUUGGUUUUCCUGGCCUUACCUCAAUUUCUGCUGCUGCCUCCUGUUCCUGGCAACUCCUGCAGGGAGGAUCCAUGGGUAAGGCAUACAGUAGGGCUAGGCACGAGCCAUCCUGAUGCGACUUUGGUUCUGAGA